UACGGAGGGUGCGAGCGUUAAUCGGAAUUACUGGGCGUAAAGCGCACGUAGGCGGCCUGUUAAGCUGGAUGUGAAAGCCCCGGGCUCAACCUGGGAAUUGCACCCAGAACUGGCAGGCUAGAGUACGGUAGAGGUGAGUGGAAUUUCCUGUGUAGCGGUGAAAUGCGUAGAUAUAGGAAGGAACAUCAGUGGCGAAGGCGACUCACUGGACUGAUACUGACGCUGAGGUGCGAAAGCGUGGGGAGCAAAC
rnacentral:rRNA from 1 species